rnacentral:rRNA from 1 species
GCCCAGCGCUGAAUCCUGCGGCCCCGGCGGGCCGCCGGGAAAUGUAGCGUUCGGGAGGAGAGUUAUACAUACACGCGCGGUCAUUAGUCACGGCUGCCUGUCCAAGUUCAUCUUGAACGGGGCCCGCUUACCCGCAGAGGGUGCCAGGCCCGUGGUGACGGUAGCCGGCCGCGACGGUCUCUCUCCCUAGAGUCGGGUUGCUUGAGAGUGCAGCCCUAAGUGGGUGGUAAACUCCAUCUAAGGCUAAAUACUACCACGAGACCGAUAGCGAACAAGUACCGUGAGGGAAAGUUGAAAAGAACUUUGAAGAGAGAGUUAAAGAGUACGUGAAACCGUUCAGGGGUAAACCUGUGGAACUCAAACGAGCGAACGGGGAGAUUCAUCGUGUCUUCCGUCGGGGCUCGCGCCUCGCGCGCACCUUCGCCUUCGGCUCUCGGGUCGGGGCGGAGGGCGCGCGGGUGCGUCGUCAGGCUCUCGGAGCGCGUGCACUUCUCCCUUAGUAUAACACCGCGACCCGUCGCGCCGCUGUCGAAUGCGUCGUGCGGUUGACCCGUCUCGCUCUGCGAGGCGGAGCCGCGACGUCCACGGCAGCGGCGUACAUUACGCAGCGACGGUAGAGAACGAGGAUCGCGUCCGCCCCCUGCGGGCGUCCGUCGCGCUGCAGCGGCGUCCUUCGCGUGGCCCCCGGCGUCUAGUGCGUCGCGGGUGUCGCGAGUCGGGUGUCCGUCGUUAGCGGCGCGCUCUCGGACGGGACGCGUCCCGGUCGGCGGUGGUUUUGUUUUGGGCACUCACAGGACCCGUCUUGAAACACGGACCAAGGAGUCUAGCAUGUGCGCGAGUCAUUGGGAACACUGAUAAACCCAGAGGCGAAAUGAAAGUGAAAGGCCGGCCUCGAGCCGGUCGCAGGGAAGAUGCGCGGGCGUCGUCAGACGCCCCGCCGCAUUCCCGAGGCGUUUCGAGAAAGCCCCCGUGCGAUUAUCGAGACGCACUGAGAGCGUACACGCUGGGACCCGAAAGAUGGUGAACUAUGCCUGGUCAGGUCGAAGUCAGGGGAAACCCUGAUGGAGGACCGAAGCGAUUCUGACGUGCAAAUCGAU